AACGGCCGUACCAUGCUGAAUAUACCGGUUCUCGUUAGAUCACCGAAGUCAAGCAUCAUUGGGCGUGGUCAGUACUUGGGUGGGGGACCACCUGGGAGCACAGCGUGCCGUU
rnacentral:rRNA from 1 species